rnacentral:misc_RNA from 1 species
UCAAACUUGGUCAUUUAGAGGAAGUAAAAGUCGUAACAAGGUUUCCGUAGGUGAACCUGCGGAAGGAUCAUUCGAGAGAGUUUUGAAGGUCUCCCUUGGGAGAACGAGAAACUCGAAUCCACUUUUUAAAGGAGCUCUCUCUUCAUGAAAGGGUGUCUUCCAUUAGAAAUAGUGUGAAGACGGAAGGCUGAUGAAUAGUUUUUUGAAACUUUUUCUGCGCACACAGUCCUUAAUCCUUGCCAAACAAAAGUGAUGCUUAAAAAGUUUUCACCUCAACCACUAUUUCUACCAUCCUAUUCUCAACUUUUUAUUUCAGUCGUAAGAUCUGAAAGAUAACUAAGAAACAACUUUUGACAACGGAUCUCUUGGUUCUCGCAUCGAUGAAGAACGCAGC